UAGUCAAUGAGUAGGUGCAUCUGGAGGAAAUUAAAUUUGAAAUGCUGGUGAGGGUCUAUGUAUUUUAAAAAGGAAGUAUAUCCCCAAAUUGUGUAAGUCUGCCACUUUAAAUAAACAUGGAUUUACAAUUACCUUUACAUUAGAUCUAAGUGAGUUUCUGUGAUUUUUUUUAAUUUCAUUUCUACAAGCAUAACACAUACUGUAUAACUGGAAUUUGCUCUCUUGUCACAGUGAUAAAUUAGUCUGCCGUUGUGAUAAUAAUACCAGAUCCAUUCCCAGCCAGACUGUCGGAGGAUGCCAAGGAUGUACGUAAUUCCAG